GGAAGUAAAGUCGUAACAAGGUUUCCGUAGGUGAACCUUCGGAAGGAUCAUUAAUGAGUUGUCAUGGGGUUCGAUGCUGGCAGCCAAUUUUUGGAUGCAUGUGCUUGCCCUAACAAUCAUCUUCCAAACACCUGUGCACAUUUUUGAGGGAGUCUUGAGUUGGUUGCCGCUCUUGGGUGAUUUUCUCACAUUCCCUUAAAUCAUUAUACGCUAUUAACAAUGUUGAACGUGCUCUGUGCCGCAAGGCUAUUAAUAUAAUACAACUUUUAACAACGGAUCUCUUGGCUCUC
rnacentral:misc_RNA from 1 species